AUAGCAGAUACAUGUUCUCUCUCUCUAAAUUAUAUUCAAUGAGCACGUCAUAAAAUUUCAAACACUUCACUGAAGGGGUCAAAUGAUCGUCCCCAAUAAAAAUGAGUUGGGACACAAUGAAGGGAAAAUAUGGUAAAAUUUAUCAGCAGUUGACAGCAAGUCGGUCGUCCCAGACAAAAAAGAACAUUAAAUGAAACUCUGCUCCAUCUCAAACUCAUCAAGUUGCUUUAGCAGGAGGUUCAUCUUGAGGCUUCAUGGAUGGGAAGAGCAGCACCUCCUUGAUAUUCUGGGAAUCAGUUAACAACAUAGCUAGUCGAUCAAUACCCAUUCCCCAGCCCCCAGUUGGAGGUAACCCAUACUCAAGAGCAGUACAAAAUGUUUCGUCAUAAGCCAUCGCUUCAUCAUCGCCCGAUUGUCGGUCCUUGAGUUGUUCAGUAAAUCGCUGACGUUGUACCACAGGAUCAUUCAAUUCAGUGUAUGCAUUGCAUAGCUCGUGCUUGUUCACAAACAAUUCAAAACGUUCAGUCAAGCCUGGUUUUGAUCUGUGCCACUUUGCCAAAGGACUCAUAAUUUCAGGAUGGUUUACGAUGAAAGUAGGAUUCACACAAGUUUCUUCUAGAAAGUGCCCCACCAGUUUAUCCAAAAGACGAGCUGUUGUCUGAGGAGGGGGGCACUUGACCUCAAACCUCUCACACGCAGCAACUAGAUAUUUGUUAGCUUCAUCACUGGAAAGAUCCUUUGGUAUGUUGAGGUUGGCUAUCUGUUCUAACUCGUCUAUCAUGUCAAUCCGUCUAAAAGGUGGUGUAAAGUCAAUCUCAAUUGGAUCCUUGUCAGAACCAUUUGCAUGGUAUUUAAUUUUGUAGCCACCUGUAAGUUCCUUGACCAUUCCAAUCAACAAUCUCUCAGUUAGUUCCAUCAAG
rnacentral:misc_RNA from 1 species